rnacentral:tRNA from 1 species
GCCCUCGUAGCUUCAAUUGGUUAAAGCUCCCGGCUUAUUCCCGGGCGAAAGCACGCGCUAGAUAAGCGCGAGUAUGCGGGUUCGAGUCCUGCCGAGGGCACCA